rnacentral:rRNA from 1 species
AUUGAACGCUGGCGGCAGGCCUAACACAUGCAAGUCGAAUGGUAACAGGAAACAGCUUGCUGUUUCGCUGACGAGUGGCGGACGGGUGAGUAAUGUCUGGGAAACUGCCUGAUGGAGGGGGAUAACUACUGGAAACGGUAGCUAAUACCGCAUAACGUCGCAAGACCAAAGAGGGGGACCUUCGGGCCUCUUGCCAUCAGAUGUGCCCAGAUGGGAUUAGCUAGUAGGUGGGGUAACGGCUCACCUAUGCGACGAUCCCUAGCUGGUCUGAGAGGAUGACCAGCCACACUGGAACUGAGACACGGUCCAGACUCCUACGGGAGGCAGCAGUGGGGAAUAUUGCACAAUGGGCGCAAGCCUGAUGCAGCCAUGCCGCGUGUAUGAAGAAGGCCUUCGGGUUGUAAAGUACUUUCAGCGGGGAGGAAGGGAGUAAAGUUAAUACCUUUGCUCAUUGACGUUACCCGCAGAAGAAGCACCGGCUAACUCCGUG